AUCACUUCUCGGCCUUUUGGCUAAGAUCAAGUGUAGUAUCUGUUCUUAUCAGAAUUCUACUCAUCGUAACACUGCUACUGAUUCCUUAUGGGAAUGAAAGGACUCUAUGGGCCUCAGUUUCCAAAUCUGUAAUCUGAGGUGGUUGGAUCAGUUGGCCUCUAA
rnacentral:snRNA from 1 species